rnacentral:misc_RNA from 1 species
UCUCCGUUGGUGAACCAGCGGAGGGAUCAUUACCGAGUUUACAACUCCCAAACCCCAUGUGAACCUUACCAAACGUUGCCUCGGCGGGAUGCCCCGGGCGCGGGCCGCAAGGCCUCAGCCCCGGAACCAGGCGCCCGCCGGAGGCCCAAACCAAACUCUUGUUUUUGUAGAAUCUUCUGAGUGGCCUUUUAGGCAAAAAAUGAAUCAAAACUUUCAACAACGGAUCUCUUGGUUCUG